rnacentral:lncRNA from 1 species
GGAGAAAGUCAGAGCUGACAGCAAUCCUCACUAUUCCACACUGCAAGCCUGGGCAAUGCCACCCCCUUGCCAACUACCCCCUCCCUGAUCUCACACCCCUCCAAGCUCUCCCCUCCCCGACCCCAGGGACUGCAGUUGACUCCAGCACAGCAGUCUACACCCCAGCCUGGAGUGGGAGAGACGGUGGAGACAGUGUGACCUCCAAGAAGACAAUAGGUCUGCUCACAAAGGAGGACAGGCACAUGUGGGAAGUUAAACAGCCACAGACCAGAGAAGCACACACACACGCACACUAAGCACAAACAAGCAUGUUGUAUCUUUUUCACACGGUAAGCUGGAGGCUAGCAACGCAAGCCCCAGAGGACAGGUGUGUCACGCCGAAAAUCCUGAUGCUGCAGGUGCUUCUCCGGCACCCAGCCCUCUAAUAUAUCCUUUUUUUUUUUUUUUUUUUUUUGGUGACAAGUCACUUCAACACCAAGGCCCUUCAGAGCAACUUCAUUUAUUCAAAAGCUCUUCUGAGCAGAUCUCUGUUUGCUCCAAGGAUCUAUCUGCGGUUGACACCUCUUCUGUGGUUAUAGAAAGGCGGUCUGAACAUCUCUAGGCUAACUCAUUCCGGUUGCCAAUCAUCCAGAGAGCCUGGGCAUCCAAGACUCAGCAGCGCCCAUGGAAGUCCAGGACGAUCUGGGAGAGAAAUGACACAGGGGUGGGAAGUGAAGAAUCUCCAUGGUCAACAAUUCAUGGUCUAACCCAGCGCCUAGCACUCAUCGUCUAACCCAGCACCCAGCACUCAUGGCCUAACCCAGCACCCAGCACUCACUGCUCCUAUGGAUGCAUGCACAUGUGAAACAACCCAAAUGGACAACGAAGGGGAUGUGACAAAGAAACAAAAUACUGUUUUAGCUUAAAAUGCUUUUUCACACUUUUUAUUUCUCAUUAGUGAGCAUUUUAAUUUAACGGUCCCCGAUUUCCAGCUUCCCUUCCUUCCUAUCGCUUCCUUCUGCCAGCUUGUUCUCCGACCCAUCGGAUUGCUCUUCCCUGGUGUCCCUGUUUUCCAAACUUCGUGCCACCGUUGUUGGUGCUGUUGUUUUUGCAGUGCUGGGCAUUGAACACAGGGCCUUGCUCUUCCGCUGAGCUACAACUCCAGCUCCUGCCACUGUUUCUCUGUCACCUCCUGCCAUUCCGGUGCCCAAUUUCACCUUUUGGAUCCUAUCCCUCCUUUAGGGCUCCUUCUCUAGCCACCUCCCACUUAUCUAUAGCCCACUCAUCCUUAUGGAGACCCUCCUCCCACUGAGGACCUUGACACUCUGCCCUCUGGGCCUGUCUCACCACCGCCCUAGGUCACUAGUAUUCUAAAGUUAGAGAGACAGCGAAAGUACCAGAGAGAACCCACUCUAUCAUCCACACAGCCCUCCAAUCCCAUCUCUGCCUGGACAUGGGACAUCAACAGGUGAGUCCCAUGCUCACCCUGACCUCAGUCUCUCUUUGUGAGAGGAAAGAUUUGAAGAGGGAUUCAAAAUGUGUCUCCUGGUUCUCAUAAUUUAGAAACCUUCCCUCAACAGUGCCUCCUGCUGCAGGGUGGUGAGCUUCCUUAUGACAGAGACCUCAUGGCUCUCAUUGGAGUUCCUGCAGCAGACCUGGCUUGCACGUCGACACUCAAUACAUUUUACCCAACCAGUAUCUUGAUGGAUCCUGGCAGGGCCCUAGGACGCUGACUCUAGGCACAGACCCAAGUCACUGGAGGUGUGAGGAAGCAGAAUGGCCUUCCAGGACCACACAGUUAAAGACAGGCCAAGGAAAGGCUAGUUAUUAGAAGGAAAUAUCUAAGAAACACCAGAGGAAUGGUUAAGACAAGUUCUUCCAUGGACAGAUUCAGACCAAUGCAAGCUCAACAGCAUGUGUUGAUCCUUAACCGGAGGCAACUGUGCCCCCCGAGAGACAUUUAGCAAUGUCUGUGGACAUCUUUUCUGGGAGGGAAGAUGCUAUUGGCAUCUACUGGGUAGAAGUCAUAGAUGCUGCUUAACACCCCAGGAUGCACAGAACCAUCUCCUACAACAAAGAGUCAUCUGGCCCCCGAACGUCACCAGUGCUGUGAUGGAAAGACACUCCUGUGUGUAUCACACACCCUUCUCCUUCUCCCAUCCUGCCUGAAUCUUUCUCCCUCCUUCUCCCAGGCCAGCAACACAUUCCAGAUGAUGCUACAGGAAUAUGGUACAAGGCCACACAGGAGCACCCUGCUGGGAGCCAUUAGCCAAGUAGGUAUGACAAUUUCCUUGCCAGCGUACCCCAUGUUGCUUAGUGGAAGGACAUUUUGCAGUGACAUUGCAUGUAGGUGACCUUGCUCAAGGACCAAGGCGGAUCCGGGUUUAGGGUGUUCCCGGUUUAGAAUAAUCCGGGUUUAGGGCGUUCCCGGUUUAGGACUAUCCCGGUUUAGGGUGGUUCCAGGUUUAAGGUUACUCCUGCUGGGAAUAGGGCGUAUCCUGCUGCCUGAGUUCCCCUUGAGUUCUCACAGGAUUCAGACAGUAUUUUUUGGGAGAUAGAAGCCCAGUGGGGGUGGAUUUGGGCAGAGAACGUGGAUUUCCCCAGAACGUGAUUGUAGACGGCUGGUGUGAGUUCGGGAAUAAAGAGCUGCUGUUUGAAUCUACAAGCUGUGUGGUGGCUCGUGAUUGUGUGCCCAGCCAGACUGUGGCAGCACCCAAC